rnacentral:lncRNA from 1 species
UGGUCUAGCACAGAACAUGGCGCAGAUACUGAAUCUGUAUGAACUGGAAAUGAAUGUUUUUCUGCAACAUUGGACCUGUGUGGGAAUGAAUCUCAUUUUACUCUGAUAGCUGGAAUCUAGUAUAUAUUGGAAAGUGAAAGCGCUACUGAAUCAGUGGUAGGUAACAGGGUCAUGGAGACAGCCCCUGUCUGGAGACAGCCCCUUCUGCACAGAAGAAGGUAGAUCUGCUUGUGGAGGACUCAUCAGGUGGAUGCACAAGGUCUGUAUGAUUUGGCCUUAUCUUUCUUUAGACUCAUCUAGUACCUGGGUGAAUUAGGGGUUUUAAAGCUUAAAAUCUAUGACUGA